GUCAGUGAAUUUAAAUUUGAACUCCUCAGGCCAAGGUCUGAGUUCGGAAUUUGAUUUUUAUUCCUUUUGACUCUUAACUUGGUUUAACAAAUUAAAAAUCUUGUUUGAAACAGGCAGUUGAUGCCUCCACCAGCUUUUCCUGUCACUGGCAUGAAAUCAGAAUCGGAAGAAAGAAAAGGUGCGGGGUCUUUGCCUGGCAGCCAUGAUCAUCAAGCCAAGAAGAUGAAAACUGCAGAAAAGGGCUUUGGAUUAGUGGCUUACGCUGGAGAUUCUUCAGAUGAAGAGGAGGAACACGGUGGCCAUAAAAAUGCAAGUACUUUUUCACAGGGCUGGAGUUUGGGGUACCAGUACCCAUCCUCCCAACAGCGAGCUAAACAACAGAUGCCUUUCUGGAUGGCACCAUGAACAACCUGCACAAAAGUUCCCAUCCAUCUGGUUUUUCCCCCCUCUAGCAAUAAUGCAUGUAUAUUCCAGAAUGAACUUGGCAAAGAGGAGUUGUUUUUACAUUUGCAGAAGCCAAUUUUUCCCCUUGGAAGGGCUGCGUGGUUUUUUAAAAAUCCUCAUUUUGGCAGCAUAUUUGUCAAUUUUUAAAAAGGAGUGUUUGGAGUAGCAGCUAGUCCCUUGGGCAAGGGGGAAGUGCUGUCAAGAGGAGCCAGGGAAGCCUCUUGGGCCAUAUUUCCCAUUUCUCCCAGAUAACAUAAAGGGAAGAGUCAGUGACACUUCACUCUGCAUUUGCAUUUUUGGAGUGCUCCUGCUGUCAGCCCCAGUGAUCUGCUGGUGACUCAGCCUCAAUUUUGGGCUUUGACCAGAGGAAGGAACAUCCAGCAGCCAUGACAAACUUGAGCAUCACGUUUGGAACGCUUGGUUUUAUUUCCAACAUCUGUCACUGGGCUUGGAUUGAUGUUGAGGUGUGAUUUUACCAGUGCCACGAGUUCCCAUUCUGGCCAGAUGUUGGGCUGGCUGCAGAUGUUUUGGCACUGCAGCCCAAGUGCUGAACUGUUUUCCAUCUCCCAGAACUCUGAAUCAGCAGCAAUUCCUUUUCCAGAGGCUCACCCCCAUCCCUUCCCUCACUCCUGGAUCCCACCAGAGCCAGAAGCUUCCACGGUGGUUUCCCCCAGGAAAGCUCACCUGCAGAACCUGGCAAUGAGUUUUUGGGCUGCUUUUGGACUGUUUUGGACACAAACUGCUCCGGGGGCUGGUUCAGCCAGAGGCAGUGACACAGGGACAGGUUUUGGGACAGGAGCUUUUCUUUAGAGAAGGGGCUGUGUCCCUGCUGUCCUCAGCUCUGCAAACUCUGCUUCCCCACGUGCUGUAAAUAAUUGGAACCAUCCUUUCAUUAUAAAUAAAUAUAUAAAUAUU